AUACGGAGGAUGCGAGCGUUAUCCGGAUUUAUUGGGUUUAAAGGGUGCGUAGGCGGAAGGCUAAGUCAGCGGUGAAACGCAGGUGCUCAACACCUGACCUGCCGUUGAGACUGGUUUUCUGGAAUGCGGAUGCUGUGGGAGGAAUGUGUGGUGUAGCGGUGAAAUGCAUAGAUAUCACACAGAACACCGAUUGCGAAGGCAUCUCACAAAUCCGCAAUUGACGCUGAGGCACGAAGGUGCGGGGAUCGAACAGGAUUAGAUACCCUGGUAGUCCGCACAGUAAACGAUGAUGACUCGCUGCCGGCGAUAGACAGUCGGUGGCCAAGCGAAAGCGGUAAGUCAUCCACCUGGGGAGUACGACCGCAAGGUUGAAACUCAAAGGAAUUGACGGGG
rnacentral:rRNA from 1 species